rnacentral:snoRNA from 1 species
AGCCACUGAUGAAAUUCGAUUCUGCCAAAUGAAUUCCUGUGAUAUUAACCAUUUCCGUUCCACAUUGUCUGAGGUU